rnacentral:rRNA from 1 species
AUGGGUGCGCCGAAGCAGAGGUGGACGUCGGAGGAGGAAGCCGCGCUCAAGGCCGGCGUGGCCAAGCACGGGCCAGGAAAGUGGCGGACAAUCCUCCGCGACACGGACUUCAGCGCCGUCCUGCGCCUCCGAUCCAAUGUUGACCUCAAGGACAAGUGGCGCAACUUGAGUGUUACUGCUGGAGGAUAUGGCUCAAGAGAAAAGGCUAGAAUGGCGUUGAAGCAAGGCAAGCGUGUUCCCAAGGUUAACACUGAACCAAUGGAUGUUGAUGCAGAUAAUCUGGACAAUGUUCAUGAUACAGUCAUUGAUGCAAAACCAUUGGCAGUGGUUGUUGAACCCAGCCAGCGUGAAUGCAGUUCAGAGAAGUCAGUUGCUAGGCUUGAUGAUCUCAUAUUGGAAGCUAUAAAGAAGCUUAAGGAGUCUUCCGGAUCAAAUAAAACGGCCAUCGCUUCAUACAUUGAGGAGCAAUACUGGCCACCUGCUGAUUUUCAACGCUUACUAUCAACAAAAUUGAAGGCACUGGUUGCUACUGGAAAAUUGAUGAAGUCCAACCAAAAAUACAGAAUUGCACCGAGUUCAGUCUCGUUAGGUGGAAGGAGCACCAAGGUGCACUCAACCGAAGACGGCAAACAAAAUAUUUGUAUUAGACAACUAACUAGGCCUCAAGUGGAUGCUGAACUGGAUAUGAUGACACACAUGAACAAGGAAGAGGCAGCAGCAUUUGCUGCCAAGGCAGUUGCUGAGGCAGAAGUUGCCAAUGCGGAGGCUGAAGAAGCAGCAAGGGCUGCAGAAGCUGCAGAAGCUGAGGCUGAAGCUGCAAAGGCUUUUCUCGAUGCUGUCAUGUUGACUGUGCAAAACAAAAAUGCUGCCUCUGCGAUUCUUCGAGCUUGCUGA